CAGCCGCCGCGGUAAUACGUAGGUGGCAAGCGUUGUCCGGAAUUAUUGGGCGUAAAGGGCUCGCAGGCGGUUUCUUAAGUCUGAUGUGAAAGCCCCCGGCUCAACCGGGGAGGGUCAUUGGAAACUGGGAAACUUGAGUGCAGAAGAGGAGAGUGGAACUCCACGUGUAGCGGUGAAAUGCGUAGAGAUGUGGAGGAACACCAGUGGCGAAGGCGACUCUCUGGUCUGUAACUGACGCUGAGGAGCGAAAGCGUGGGGAGCGAACAGGAUUAGAUACCCCCGUAGUCCCUGUCUCUUAUAC
rnacentral:rRNA from 1 species